CUCCAGGCUUAAAAGGAAGGUACUUCAAAAUGCCAGAUGCAGGGAGUGUAGUAUCAGGAGACAGGUUUCUCGUUGUCUCUUGUGCUCACAGAGGCACCAGGUGGGGCCGCUGUGGGAUACAGGAAGCUGGAUUAGAUGGCUCUUCUUACGCCUAAAUCAUGUGAAAUAUUAGUCCCCCUCUAAUUGACAUUGAUUAGGUCUCAUCUUGACUACAUUGCCCAGUUUUGAACAGCGCACUUCAAGAAGGAUCCAGAAAAACUGGAAGAAGUUCAGAGGACGGCAACGAAGAUAAGCAGAGGACAGUAAACAAAGCCUUUUGAGGAAAGACUGAGAGAACUGGGCAUGUUUAGCCUUGAGAAAAGAAGCUUGAGGGGAGAUAUGAUAGCAUUCCUCAAAUAUCACAAAGAUUGUUAUACAGAGGAGGGGCAGGAUCUGUUCUCUAUCAAUCCAUGUAAUAAUGGACUCAAGUUACAAGAAACCAGAUUUCAGAUGAAUAUCAGGAAAAACUUCCUAACUAUUAGAGCAACACAACAAUGGAACCAAUUACCUUAGGAGGUGGCGAAUACUCCAGUGCUGGAGUAUUAGACAGCCAUCUGUCAGAUCAGCUUUGAUUUGGAUUCCUGCAUUGAGCAGGGGGUUGAACUUGAUGGUCUUAUGAAGCCCCUUUCAACUCUGUAAUUCUAUGAUCUGUGAUCGAUGAUCUACACCACACUGGUACAUGACAUUGUGAGUUAGGAGCAAAACUCUUACAGUGGUGCCUGUACAUUUUGAUUUAUAUAGAUUUAAAGCUCUUUAGACUUUUUAUCUGAAGGAUUCUCUUUUGCUUUUCUAAAAGAUCUUUCAGCAUGAAAACUCAGAUCAAGAAGAACUUGGCCGUUGGCUUCCCAUUGAUGCUGUUCAUAGCAGGAGCAAAUGCCAUCUGGUGUAACAGUUGCAAAAAGCCCAUUCCUUCAGGGAGCUGUCCAGAAACACAAGAAAUCUGUUGGGCAGGGGAAGGAGCUGGCUGCUACACAGAGAAUCUCUACAUUGGACAUACAAGGAUUAAAUCUGCUGUUGGUUGUUUCCAGGGGUGCAGUAAUGGGAAAACUGAGUAUGGUGCCAUGUGGAAUGAGUUAGUUUGCUGUUUUACAGACUAUUGCAAUGCCUAACUUUGACUGAGGAGGACCCAGGAGUUUGGAAUACUCACAGUCGGAUCUUGUCAAAUUGAAGCUAAUGAUGCAGCCAACAUAAAGAGAAUAAAAAGAAGCUACAUUAUUUCUGCCUUUUCCUA
rnacentral:lncRNA from 1 species